rnacentral:rRNA from 1 species
UGGUGGGUAGUUUGACUGGGGCGGUCUCCUCCUAAAGAGUAACGGAGGAGCACGAAGGUUGGCUAAUCCUGGUCGGACAUCAGGAGGUUAGUGCAAUGGCAUAAGCCAGCUUGACUGCGAGCGUGACGGCGCGAGCAGGUGCGAAAGCAGGUCAUAGUGAUCCGGUGGUUCUGAAUGGAAGGGCCAUCGCUCAACGGAUAAAAGGUACUCCGGGGAUAACAGGCUGAUACCGCCCAAGAGUUCAUAUCGACGGCGGUGUUUGGCACCUCGAUGUCGGCUCAUCACAUCCUGGGGCUGAAGUAGGUCCCAAGGGUAUGGCUGUUCGCCAUUUAAAGUGGUACGCGAGCUGGGUUUAGAACGUCGUGAGACAGUUCGGUCCCUAUCUGCCGUGGGCGCUGGAGAACUGAGGGGGGCUGCUCCUAGUACGAGAGGACCGGAGUGGACGCAUCACUGGUGUUCGGGUUGUCAUGCCAAUGGCACUGCCCGGUAGCUAAAUGCGGAAGAGAUAAGUGCUGAAAGCAUCUAAGCACGAAACUUGCCCCGAGAUGAGUUCUCCCUGACCCUUUAAGGGUCCUGAAGGAACGUUGAAGACGACGACGUUGAUAGGCCGGGUGUGUAAGCGCAGCGAUGCGUUGAGCUAACCGGUA